AACGUAGGAGACAAACGUUAUCCGGAGUUACUGGGCGUAAAGGGCGUGUAGGUGGUUUUGUAAGUCUGGCGUGAAAUUUUUCGGCUUAACCGGGAAAGGUCGUCGGAUACUGCAAGGCUAGAGGACGGUAGAGGCGUGUGGAAUUCCUGGUGUAGCGGUGAAAUGCGUAGAUAUCAGGAGGAACACCGGUGGUGUAGACGGCUUUCUGGACCGUAACUGACGCUGAGACACGAAAGCGUGGGUAGCAAACAGG
rnacentral:rRNA from 1 species